rnacentral:snRNA from 1 species
AUCGCUUCUCGGCCUUUUGGCUAAGAUCAAGUGUAGUAUCUGUUCUUAUCAGAAAUCCCUAACGUUUGCGUAGCCACACCCAACACUCUCCUACCUUAUAGUCUGUGCUUAUAUGGUCUUGUUGCAAAAAAUCUCUUUCCACUAUGGGCAUAUUUUCUCCUACUGGCUUUCUUAGCUCCGUCUACUAAACGGUUUGUCUACUCCUAACCUCUAACAGAUGUCUU